GGAGGCUUGUUCCUAGGGCAUCACUCAUCAAAGCAUUCGUUUUGGCCGCGGCCUCAGGACGUGUUACUGCGUCGCACUGCGGAGGUUCGGCGAACACCGGCUCGGCGGCUGGGGCCUCCAUUGGCGCGGGCGUCCCCAGUGCGGAGUAGGGUCUGGUUGUUGAGACGGCGUGAGGACACGCGGCCGCAAGCCCUCGGCGCCGGGAGGUGCACGUGCGCGCUCGGCCCUCGCUCUGUGCGCCGCGCGGCCCGCUGCCGUGCAGGGCCUCCCGGGACUCGGCCUGCUGCCUCGAAGGGGUUACAAAGGGCAGUCCCGAAGCAGUGACGUCCAUGCCUGCCAGCUUGGCAGAGCUUGCGAAGAUCUAAAAUGGGACUGUCAGGUGUUACUUCCUGGGCCGCAGGCAAGUCGCCCGAAGGUGGAGCUCUGAUUUCGUCCCUGAACCGAGCUGUGGGCAAGCGGGCCGGCUGGAUUUCAGCGGUCACCCCGCAGUGCUUUUCCCUUCCCGCCUCUUCUCCCCCACCGCAGGCCUGGGAGCCGGGGCUCUCGGCUGGUCCGGCUGGUCCGCCAGUGGCACCGGCCCCCUGGUGAAGCUGCGCUCCCCUCUAAGCCCCCGAUCUCGCACCUCCACCCUCCGGGCGCGCCAUUCUUUCCUUCCUCCCGGGGAUCCCUCUCUGAGCCGUUCAGAGCCCUCAGCUGUUUCAGCCUCCAGCAACGGUGGGAAGUAGGCGGACGUGCCGCCUUCACAGCUUUUAACGUGCCAAGGCUGGGGAAGGGACAAUGCUGGUUUCAUUGCCCAUUAAAAACCCUUGACCUCUGGCCUGAAGAGCUCAUGGAAACAAGGCAUUGGGACAUGCCCGGUAUUUAGGAUGCCGAUGUCGUGAGGAGCCAGUACCCACUCCAGGGAUGAUUUAUUCAUAUCCAUGUCCAGAUAUGAAGCCGAGCAUCGUCAGUCCGGAUGUAGGAGGCUGCAGGAGACCAUUGUGCCUGCCCUGAGAGUGAGGACAGUUCAGGAAAGAAGAGCGUCGGGAACCUGAAAUAUAUAGAAGAAGGAAAGUAAUUAAGAAGAGGCAGGAGGAAGAAGUGAUUCCCACUGUUUUUAUGAAGCCAGCACAAGUAUGAGGCCAGAAAUCUCACCGGGGUAUUUCCAGAAAAGAAAAUCAGACUACAGUCGACUGCUCUACAGACAGACUGAUAUAAGCAAGGACAGUGGUUGGUUUUGGGUUUUUUUUUUUUUUUUGUGUGUGUGUGUGUGUGCAUUUUUUGGUGAGAUUCAUUUCUGAAAAGAGGAUCUUUUCUGGAUAUGGUAAGGUUCUACAUUUUGAUGUUCUUGGUAGUUAAAUGGACGUACACAAUUGCCAGACUUAGUGAACGAUACACUUACAAUGUGUGCAUCUUAUUAUAUGAAAAUUACACUUCAAUAAAAACAAAGUGAAGCAGUUUUAUGGAAAGGACGCACUUUUCAACAGUGAGAAAUGCUCCAUGAGCACACGUCACUUGGUAAUCCUGUGUGUGUGCUGCUUUAUUAACCACCGUCACAUUAGUGGUCACAAUAAGUGCAUCCCAUUUGUGGUAGUGAUUCGCAAACUCCGAGAGGAUGAAUGGCUUACUCCAGUCUUUAGACAGCGUGUGGCAAAUCAGGACUGAAACUCAAGGUCUUUGCCUCUUGGUUUUUGCUUUUCCCCAAAAGAAUACUUCGCUGGUGCACUACCCUUACCUGAGAAAACCCUGCCAUAGCACCUGCUGCUGUAGAGUGCUCUGGAAUCCUUGUUUUUGUUCUGAGCCUCUGAACAUCAUUGGCUGGUAAUUGGAAUAACAGCCUUAGCACACGAUUAUAGUUUUAUAGCAAUGCAUGACUUAGAAUUCUGACUUACUUAAGAUUCACCCAAUUAUCUGAAUUAAAAUAUUUUCUUUGCCUUCACUGCGGGAUCUGGAAUAGAUGCUUCGAUAUGCCCUCAUGGCAACAGAAGCUUCCCACCAUCGUGAUGUCCGCUGCCCUGCACUGUGCUUUCUCUUUCUCCCUCUGCCUCCAUCCAUCAUUGGUCUCAGAGCUUUCCCGCUCAUGGGUAGAGGAGAAAUGAUUUCUUAUUCAUCUUGUAUCCCAGGCUUAUUAUAGUGUCUGGCACUGAAGACAUACUUCCUGAAUGACUAAGCAAGUAGGGCAGAUGCCUUCUGGGAAACUCUCACCUCCUGGUCUGCCGUCUGUCACCACAACUGCAUUGACACAUUGAUUAAUAAUUUGUCUGGAAGUAAAGAUCCCCUAUGAUGGAGUUGAUGAUAUUAAAAGUAAUAUUUUUAUUGUGCUAUUUAAGUGCAGCAUAGUUCAGCUUGCUUGCUUAUUGGCCAGUACACUGUAUGGGGCGGAGGCUGUGGGAUGUAGUUUGCUCUGCCACCUGCCAAAGCUGGAAGGGUUAUGAACGUUUUGUAGGAGUCGCUCAGUUGUUGAAUGAACAAAUACAUUUCUACAACUACAUAAUACACGCCCAGUUCUGCAAAUAUAUCCAUCUUUCUCUGUAUUGGUUGUGAUUUUCGUGUACUUUCUUGGUUACCCCAAGGCAUUGUCUUCCAUUUUGGGGUAAGAUUUCAGGGUUUGCUGUUUAUAUAUGGUAGUUAACUCAUUAUACAUUAUUUUCAUUGAUGGUGCAACAUGGAUAUUAGCCUUUUUACAUAUGCAUACUCAAUUUUCCCAGCACUAUUUAUUGAACAGCUUAGUAUUUCUUUGGUUUGUAAUGCCAUUCAUCAAUGUUCUGUAUAUUAGCAGGCAAUUCUGUAUGCUCUUUGUUCUCUUCAAUAGCUAUGUUGGCAUUGAUAUCGUAGUGUUUAAUUAUUACUGUUUUAUAAUGUCUUGGUACCUUGUAAGAAAAUUUUGUUCUAUUUCUUCUUGAUCUUUCUUCUUAAAUGUUUUUAAAAAGCAAAUUGACUUCCUGGAUUCUGUCCACUGGGAGGAUUUCCCUUCAUGGUUGCAUUUUACAGCCAUCCCUGUUCGGGGCUGUUGUACAUUUGGCUGGUUAUGUGUAUAUUAUGCAAACCCCUCUGUAAACCAGGGUUGCCCUUUUUGUUAGCUUUUCAUAGGGAACCCCCAUGAGGCCACAGGUGAUUGUUAAGGGCAAAGCAGUACACACAGCGAUAGGCACAGGUAGCAGGUGAGUGAGUGAAUGAUCUAGUUACCGAUGCAACUAGCUUGCACCUGUUCUGAUACAUACCAUUUUCAUGGAUAAUUGAAUAUUACUAUUAAUAUCCAAUCUUAUGAUUUAGUAGAUCAUAAAAAACACAGUUAUGAUGGACAGUUCGGGUUGCACAAUUAAUUGGUGCCUUAUGGUUAAACAUGAAGUUUCUACCAGGGUCAAUAGGAAGCCAGGAACUGCUUACCAAAUUGAGGAUAGUUGUUGGCAGAAGAUGGCAUGGCUUCAUUCCAAGCACAGGGGACUAUGCAGUGAUUCUUGCACUGGGAUUUAUCAGAAU